rnacentral:lncRNA from 1 species
UUUAAUCAAUAUUAGUUAAAAGAAGGAAUGAAGAAGUCACCAUCGUUUUGAUCAAUCAUCAUUCCUGGAUUACAUCCACUUAGCUACUACUAUUCCUCAGCUUCUCAGUUUUCCCAGGAAAUCAGAAAUAGCUUUAGGGGUCCUCCACUUUUACUGGCAUACUGCAUGAAGGACAAUUAAAACCAAGAACCAGAAGAGAUUGGUCCUGUCUAAUUCAUCUCUGUCACACUUACAAAGAAAAAUGAUCACACGUAAAAUUUGUGGCCCUAUGCUGGUUCCCC